GCUCGCGUGGCCAAGGGGUAAGGCGUUGCACUUGUAAUGCAAAGAUCGGUGGUUCAAAUCCGCUCGUGAGCA